UACGUAGGGUGCUAGCGUUGUUCGGAAUCAUUGGGCGUAAAGCGCGUGUAGGUGGUUAGACAAGUUAGGUGUGAAAGCCCUCGGCUCAACCGAGGAAGUGCAUCUAAAACUAUCUAGCUAGAGGACGGUAGAGGAAGGUGGAAUUCCUAGUGUAGAGGUGAAAUUCGUAGAUAUUAGGAGGAAUACCGGUGGCGAAGGCGGCCUUCUGGGCCGUUCCUGACACUGAGACGCGAAAGCGUGGGGAGCAAACAGG
rnacentral:rRNA from 1 species